UACGUAGGGUGCAAGCGUUUGUCCGGAAUUAUUGGGCGUAAAGAGCUCGUAGGCGGCUUGUCAUGUCGACUGUGAAAACCCGGGGCUCAACUCCGGGCCUGCAGUCGAUACGGGCUGGCUUGAGUGCGGUAGGGGAGACUGGAAUUCCUGGUGUAGCGGUGAAAUGCGCAGAUAUCAGGAGGAACACCGGUGGCGAAGGCGGGUCUCUGGGCAACAACUGACGCUGAGGAGCGAAAGCGUGGGGAGCGAACAGG
rnacentral:rRNA from 1 species